rnacentral:rRNA from 1 species
GACGUAGGCGGCGAACGUUAUCCGGAAUUAUUGGGCGUAAAGGAUGCGUAGAUGGUGUAGUAAGUUAUCGGUGGCAAAUCGAGGCUCAACCUCGUGGAAGUCGGUAAUACUGCUAUGCUAGAGGAUAGGAGAGGUUAACGGAACUCCCUGUGGAGCGGUGAAAUGCGUAGAUAUAGGGAAGAACACCAAUAAGGCGAAGGCAGUUAACUAUUCUAUUCCUGACAUUGAGGCAUGAAAGCGUGGGGAGCAAAACGG